GACGAACCGUGCAAACGUUAUUCGGAAUCACUGGGCUUAAAGCGCGUGUAGGCGGGCCGGCACGUCGGUCGCUGAAAUCCCCCGGCUCAACCGGGGAAGCGGCGCCGAUACGACCGGCCUGGAGGGGCGUAGGGGGACCUGGAACUUCCGGUGGAGCGGUAAAAUGCGUUGAGAUCGGAAGGAACGCCCGUGGCGAAAGCGAGGUCCUGGACGCCAUCUGACGCUGAGACGCGAAAGCCAGGGGAGCGAACGGG
rnacentral:rRNA from 1 species